AGCAGCUAAAUCCAUGCCUGAAAUACAGGUGAGCCCUGGCCUGAUCUUGGAAGCAAUCUUCUUUGUUCCACGCUCUGCUGCUUCUUGCUGAAGUUGUAUUUGUUAUUUCUGCUAUCUUUCUCAACACUGGAAGUGCAGAUUCUCUCAUCAGGAAGAAACUGUAGGAAAGCAUUUGGGCACUGUGAGUGACAUAGUGCUUCACCUGGGGAAGCCACAGCUCUGAGCAAUGCAGGACUACUGCAGAACCAGCGAGGAACAGCAGUAGGAGCCUGGCUGGACGGAGAGAUCCUACCAGGGGGCAGCAUGAAGACAUACUUUCACAGAGGCAGCAAAUGAAGAAAAGAAAAAGGAAGCCACCCCAGCACCUUCUACCUUCUGCUUUGAUCAAGGCCAUGCAAAGAGGCUGGAUGAGGCCCAUUUGCAACCAAGACAGUUGUGGUUCUGGUCCACUGGAGCUGUGCAGCCACACGUGCUACUUUCCAUAAGGCAGGAGGUGAGCAGAGACCCUGGUCCAUCUCACAAUCCCAGCCCAAGUGACAGAUAUCAGUCCGCCAUAGCUCCAUGCUCCUGCUCUGAAGUGUGUGAUUGUGUUGACCUCUAGUGGCUGCAAGGAAGAGAGGGCCAGACCUCCAGGUGAAUGAAGCAUACAGAAUGUUAUAGCUACGUUUGUUGGAACAGCAUUCCAUAAAAACCACAACUCAUAUAUUCAUGUUCUCCUUGCCCUCUGUGAUAUAGAUUUUGUGAUCCUCCAAGACAUGCUUUGGCCAUUUCACAUUCAUGAUGCACAGGUCCUCCAGGAUCCUCCAGGAACAUCUCCAGUGAGGCUGCUUAGGAGACUGCCUUCACAGGGCGGACAGGGAGCAGGCUGUCCCUGAGCAAAGCUCUCACGAACCAUUGCAUUAGAAACAAGGAUUUGUAGAUUUGGGUAUUGCAUCCUUUAGGUGUGUUCUUCUUUUCCAGCCAAGACAUAGAAAUUUUGAUUGGGCUAAGGAAAAUUCUGGCCAUUUCAAAUGAUUCUGUGAAUCAACUCUCUGUGGAACAUUUUCUCUUUUCAGUGAAAAGUACCAUUUACUGGUUUUGCUGAUGGUACAGAUAAACCAAAAGGAUUGUUCUUGAUCCUGUGUGGAAGCAGCAGCUCUUCUGCACAGUGGUGGCCCUAAGGCAGCCCUUGAUGUUGGGUUUCUGGGCUAGAGGUCAGCCCUGUCCCUGUGCCUUCCAGUAGAUGUUCAGCUUCACUAGAGCCUGAGAAAACUGUCAGAAGUUUAUCCCAACUGAAGCUCAAUAUUUAGCUGUAAUUGAAGCCAGUACUGAAAGCCUCUGUUUGGAAAAUGUAAAAAAUGGGCUAUUUUGCAUCUGUAACCAAAAGUGGGCAUAAAUAAUUGAUUAUAAAUAAAAAUUGCUAAAAUAUAUCAAGGAUGCCAUCUGUCUUCUUGCCAGUUUUUAUACUGAAUAAUCAAAAAGUUUUAGUGGAGAUGGAUUACAGCAUUUAACACCAGCCGUUUUGUGCACACUGUUAUUAUAAGUUGCCUGUAAUUUUAAAAUUGUGCUGGCGGCUAAAGGAGAUUGCAAUAGGAAAACAAAUACCAGGAAAACCACCAAUACAGCUCUCUGAAAGGGGCACAAAUGGAAUGAUGUGUCUAGCACAUGUCACAACAGUACUGUGGAAGCUUCCCAACUUGCCUUCCAGCUGAGUCCCUGCCUGUUCAGAGCCUGGUGGGGACCAGGGCUGCUGUGGCUUGGUGUUGUCCCAGCUGGGUCCAGGCUUUUCUUGUAGAGAAAUUGCAGUGCAGGAGCCAUUGCUUAUCUGACAAGAAGGUAGCUCUUCACUGGCCUCAAGGUGCUUGAGGCUAUGAAAUAGCUGAACUAGGGACUGCUUUUUCAGAUAUGUUACCUGGCUUAAAUAAAAGAUUACUUCUUCUCACACACUUGUCUUCUUAAGAAGAAAAGAGUAGGGUAUAGAAUAUGAUGACUGCAACCUAGAUACAGGUAGAGUGUGAUGCCAGUUAAUGUCAGUGAAAUGAUGAGGCAGUUUCCUCCUUUUUUUUGUCAGCUUUUUCCUGUAAUUGGACAGAAGCUAUUUAGUAACCCACUUUCCAUGUUUGUUUAAGGUUGUUAUGAGUUUUAGAUGAUAGGAAUCAGACAUAGUGCACUAGUACUAAUUUGAUUAUAUUGAGUCUUACUUGUAAAUUAAAGCCAUAUAUUUAGUUUUCCUGAUCUUAAUCUCACUCCUUAAAUAUUUUUUAAGUAAAUAGCUGAAAGUUUAAUGGCUAAGUUCAAUGAUUAUUCUCAUUACCAUCACAAUGUCUUCUUCUUCUUCCACAUUAUGUCUGACUUAACACACCAAGUCAGUGAGUGGAAUCUCAUCCCUUCAGAAAUGAAGAGUAAAACACCCUUUCAUAUGAGCUAGUUGUUCAUCCUGCAUAUCUGACAGCCGCAGUAAAACAUUUCACACUCCUGUUUGACCUCCCAGUUGGAAGAGUAUGUCAUGUAACUGAUAAGCAGAUUGCCAAGGGGUCCUGAAAGGCUCUGAAUUUAAAAAUGGGUAUUAGAGGGUGAUUACAAAUUCAGUCAGUAAAAAAGCACAUUGUAGGGAUGAGGCUAAUUAUAUUUAAGUGGGAGGCCUGCAACCUGAGUAUUUCCAUCAUUGAUGGCAAAAUAUUCUUAGUGCCUUCUGUUGUAAACAGUAUUAGUCUAGCAGACAUCAGUUUGUGCUUACACUUAAAAGGAAAAAAUAUGUAACUUUUACUGCUAAAUCUUUCUGUGGUUUGCCCUUGGCAGGCUGCCUUCUUCUUACACAUUCUAUAUUGAAAGAGAAACCUUGAACAACGUAACAUAAUUAACAACUUCUGCUUCCAGUGCCUUCCUUUAUCCUUUAAAAGGUGUGCAAGCAAUUGAAAACCAUAACAUUAAUUCAAAGCCACAGCUGGUAUUUUCAAGAGGAACGCAGAAGACAGCUGUGUAGAAACCUGUAUUUUUCUACUUUUAUUAACAAAAUCACAGUUCUGGAAAGCUUUGUGAAACUUGUGCUAAAUUUGAUCUUGCUUCUGAAGCUGUCAUCUAGAAUAUGUAAAUAUUGAAACUGAUGGAGGAGGGAAUAGAGUGAGUCAAAGUAAUUUGUGUUUAUUGUAGGAGUUGUAUUGUUUGAGAUGCUCUAAAUAGAGAAAUGGUACAGAGAUGUCAAAUUGUUUGUAAAUCAGACAAGUACUUCUGUCUCCACUGGUAUCUUUCAUAACUGGCAAUGAGAAGAACAGAUUUAACUAGGUAGAAGCUAUAGUUGGCCCAUUAUAAAAAGUAAUAUGAUUAUUGAUGAUCUCUAGAGGUCCCUUCCAACCCCUAUGAUUCUGUGAUUCUGUGAUUAUGUGCAUGACAAUUUCUUGGUGAGUACUUCUUAUGCUGAAAAUCAUUAUUUCCUAUGUUAGGUCCAAACCAUUUUUGGUCUUUCUAGUUGUGAGAUGUUUUAAGGAUGAAAUGAAAUCUCAUGUGAUGGAAAUAAUUACUGUGUCCUACUUCUUUGUAAUGCCACUGUAUAGUGCAUGCAAAUGGAUGAAAGUAUUACAAAAAAGUUUUUAUUCUCUUUAUUUUGAAGUAACCAUCUUCAGCACCCAGUCCAGCACCCAGUCAGUGGCUUUCACUGUGUGUUGUGUGUAGCGCUCCUUUGUAUUUUAUUAUUUUCAUGCAGAGAUGAACCUUCUGAGUCUUUAAAAAUCCAUAACUACUGGAAACAUCACAAGCCAUUACUGAGAGCAUCACAAACCAUCUGCCAUUCCUGAGCUCCCCCUAACACUUCUCUGUUGGCCUUAGCUUGACCUACAAGGGUUUUUCAUCUCUCUUUUUCAAAUUUCUUUAUUAUUAUUACUAUUAUUAUUAUAUACCCUUCUCCUAUUCCAGACAGUUAAUUAAGGUCUAAGAUG